GAUGAACGCUGGCGGCGUGCCUAAUACAUGCAAGUCGAGCGAACGGACGAGAAGCUUGCUUCUCUGAUGUUAGCGGCGGACGGGUGAGUAACACGUGGAUAACCUACCUAUAAGACUGGGAUAACUUCGGGAAACCGGAGCUAAUACCGGAUAAUAUUUUGAACCGCAUGGUUCAAAAGUGAAAGACGGUCUUGCUGUCACUUAUAGAUGGAUCCGCGCUGCAUUAGCUAGUUGGUAAGGUAACGGCUUACCAAGGCAACGAUGCAUAGCCGACCUGAGAGGGUGAUCGGCCACACUGGAACUGAGACACGGUCCAGACUCCUACGGGAGGCAGCAGUAGGGAAUCUUCCGCAAUGGGCGAAAGCCUGACGGAGCAACGCCGCGUGAGUGAUGAAGGUCUUCGGAUCGUAAAACUCUGUUAUUAGGGAAGAACAUAUGUGUAAGUAACUGUGCACAUCUUGACGGUACCUAAUCAGAAAGCCACGGCUAACACGUG
rnacentral:rRNA from 1 species